rnacentral:lncRNA from 1 species
CUUCACAUAGACAUAGCAUAGUUCAUUAUUUGAAAACGUAUUUUAAACCACACUUGAAACGUCCAAUUCAUGCUUAGCUAAAAGAUGAACAUAAUCGUUAUGUCUAGGGGCAUAAGGCGUUCAAGUUCACUUUUAAAAGUUAUUCUAGGCCAAGGUAAAGCAACUAUGUACAACUUUAAAUCUCAUUUCAUAGCUAACUAAGCCAUGUAUAUAUGUUAUCAUGUUUAGAACUUUUA